rnacentral:ncRNA from 1 species
GCGCUCGCGUCGGCCCUUGAAAAUCCGAGUGAGGGAGUGUGAUUUUCGUGCCGGACUGUACCCACAUCCGCAGCAGGUCUCCAAGGUGAACAGCCUCUAGUCGAUGGACCAAUGUAGGUAAGGGAAGUCGGCAAAACGGAUCCGUAACCUUGGGAUAAGGAUUGGCUCUGAGGACUGAGCCGGUCGGGCUGGGGACCUGAAGCAGGAACGGCACUGCACCGGGACUGGGCGGGGCUCGCCGUUCACGCGGCGCGGCCAAGCCCGGACCAGCGUCGGGACCUUCCUGUGGAAAGCCUCAGCUGCGCGGCGUCCGAGGGCUUCGUGCCCAAAGUGCUAUGCUUCGGCCGGCAAAAAACAGUCAACUCAGAACUGGCACGGACCGGGGGAAUCCGACUGUCUAAUUAAAACAAAGCAUUGCGAUGGCCGCUGGUCGGUGUUGACGCAAUGUGAUUUCUGCCCAGUGCUCUGAAUGUCAACGUGAAGAGAUUCAUCAAAGCGCGGGUAAACGGCGGGAGUAACUAUGACUCUCUUAGGUCACUGGCUGGGUCAUCUGGAGGUUUUGUCACCCCAUCGGGGCUGGCAGGUGUUGAGAGGACUGUGGAUUUGUCCUCGGUGCCCCAGAGGGGACGGGGGCCCACCCGGUCACGUCUGGCAGGUGUAGGGGGCACGAUGUGCUUGUGCGGACGUAACUUCGCCACGAAUCGUGGAUUGAAGACCCAUAUGGCAAGGACGGGCCAUGCGUCUCUGCACUCUGAUACUCCUGAUGAGGGACAGGAGGUGGCGCCAACUGGAGGUGCCGUAGGAUCCCCCGACAUGAAUGUUACGCUGGACACAGGAAUGACUCAGACGUGUGACCGGGUGUCUGUGUCUGAUGUUGGUCCACCAGAAGGGGUGGAAAUGAUGAUGAAUGAGAUUACUGAGGGCAAUGAGCAAGAUUUACCGAGGUUUGCUUGCCCAGAAUCAACUGCCUUUCCAAUCAGUCCUGAAUUGAGCCCACGAGGCAGUGAGGCAGGGGGGGAUGACGAAUGUAUACGGUCAAUCCCCUCUUCAUUUCCAGCAUCCCUUGAUGCAUUUCCACAAAAUUCGAGUGCAGUGGAAACUCCUAUGGUUACACAAGUGGCAUUUCCCUGUCCAGCUUGUGAAAGGGAUCUCUAAUAAGAGGAGCCUUGCCCAGCACAGAGCAGCACACUCUUCGGUGCUGAUGGGGCGCAGCCCGAUGGAUCC